rnacentral:rRNA from 1 species
GUGGGGAAUAUUGGACAAUGGGCGCAAGCCUGAUCCAGCCAUGCCGCGUGUGUGAAGAAGGCCUUCGGGUUGUAAAGCACUUUUGUCCGGGAAGAAAUCUUCCAGGUUAAUACCCUGGGAGGCUGACGGUACCGGAAGAAUAAGCACCGGCUAACUUCGUGCCAGCAGCCGCGGUAAUACGAAGGGUGCAAGCGUUACUCGGAAUUACUGGGCGUAAAGCGUGCGUAGGUGGUUCGUUAAGUCUGCCGUGAAAGCCCCGGGCUCAACCUGGGAAUGGCGGUGGAUACUGGCGGGCUAGAGUGCGGUAGAGGGUGGUGGAAUUCCCGGUGUAGCAGUGAAAUGCGUAGAGAUCGGGAGGAACAUCUGUGGCGAAGGCGGCCACCUGGACCAGCACUGACACUGAGGCACGAAAGCGCGGGGAGCAAACAGGAUUAGAAACCCUUGUAGUCC